UCUUUGAACAAUGAUGAGGUGUAUUGAUCUGACCAAAACCAUGGAGUCUGCAUUCAAUCCAACCCUGAAGUUCAAAGA
ensembl:snoRNA SNORD69 Small nucleolar RNA SNORD69